GACAUGCAAGUGGUAGGAACCGAAAGGCGACCGACCCUUCGGGAGCUUGCACAGGUGCUGCAUGGCUGUCGUCAGCUCGUGUCGUGAGAUGUUCGGUUAAGUCCGCUAACGAGCGCAACCCUCGCUGUGUGUUACAAGUGUCACACGGUACUGCCGGUCUUAAGCCGGAGGAAGGUGGGGAUGGCGUCAAGUCAGCAUGGCCUUUAUGUCCUGGGCUACACACACGCUACAAUGGCCAACACAAUAGGUUGCUAAGCCGCGAGGUGGAGCCAAUCCUCAAAGUUGGUCUCAGUUCAGAUUGCAGGCUGCAACCCGCCCUGCAUGAAGAUGGAGUUGCUAGUAACCGCAGGUCAGCUAUACUGCGGUGAAUACGUUCCCGGGGCGUU
rnacentral:rRNA from 1 species